CUUUCAACCCGCCCCACUCCGGGAGGGGUGUUGAAAC
rfam:Anabaena cylindrica PCC 7122, complete genome.